rnacentral:rRNA from 1 species
AAAACCCUUUUGAAACGCCCUUCGGCGNACCCAGAAACCCUUUGUGAACUUAUACCUUACUGUUGCCUCGGCGCAGGCCGGCCCCUCCCACGGGGCCCCUCCGGAAGGAGGAGCAGCCCGCCGGCGGCCAACUAAACUCUUGUUUCUUAGUGAAUCUCUGAGUAAAAAACAUAAAUGAAUCAAAACUUUCAACAACGGAUCUCUUGGUUCUGGCAUCGAUGAAGAACGCAGCGAAAUGCGAUAAGUAAUGUGAAUUGCAGAAUUCAGUGAAUCAUCGAAUCUUUGAACGCACAUUGCGCCCUCUGGUAUUCCGGAGGGCAUGCCUGUUCGAGCGUCAUUUCAACCCUCAAGCACUGCUUGGUGUUGGGGCACCGCCUGUGAAAGGGCGGGCCCUGAAAACUAGUGGCGAGCUCGCCAGGACCCCGAGCGUAGUAGUUUAUAUCUCGUCUGGAAGGCCCUGGCGGUGCACUGCCGUUAAACCCCCAACUUCUGAAAUUUUGACCUCGGAUCAGGUAGGAAUACCCGCUGAACUUAAGCAUAUCAAUAAGGCGGAGGGAA